rnacentral:snRNA from 1 species
GCGCUCUCUUCGGCAGCACACGUAUUAAAAUUGGAAUGACAGAGAAGAUUAGCACGCCCCCUGUGCAAAAUGGCAUGCAAAUUCAUGAAAGUGUCCAUAUAUUU